CUGAAAUAAUAAAAAUCACGAGCAGUUUAAAAAGUACUCAUUUUUGUAUUUUUUCAAGUUUAAACUUAUCGUAGUAUUCAAAGUAUACUGUCCUCACAUAUAAAGUUAUACUGAACAAGAUUUUCGCCAGAAUAUUUUACCAGCGUAUUGUGCGGCCGCUCUUGGAAUUUGUGGUGACUAUUGCCGCCAUUCCUUUAAGUCAGUCUCAUUUUUUUUGCUUUCUGUUCAAGAACCAUUUUUAACUCACCGGGCAUAGAAAACACCCUGCUUUUAGCUGCUCAUCAAAGGUAGGUGAUUGUGAUAACAUAUACCGACAGCUAAGAAUUGAAUGUUUUCAUUUUCUGUAGGCCCUUCUAUCCAGAAAGUUUCAACCCAACGGCAUCCAGCAGAACUCGCGGAGCGCAGCUGUCUGCAGUGCGGGUGUUUAACGAGAGAAUCAUCCUGCUGCCGUUCCAUUUCAUCUGCCGGGAGAUUCCGUAGUAUAUAGAGCUCCGCAAUCGACAUAACUAUCAGGCCACACGUCUUACUAACGGAUUACCGGAAGAAUCUCAGAAAAAUGUUACGAUCCAGGAACGUCAACCAACCCCACACACUCGAAGACCUCUUUCCGUCCUGCCGGCGUACCCGCCCUUCGGAACUAUCCGUAACCCAACCCAAGAGUGAGAUUUAUUGCAUGACCGAUGUGGAAUUCCCCUUCGAAGUAUCGUGAUGAUCAUCCUGAUGGAAGCUACUGUUUUCUUUAUGUACAUUUAGUUGCUAAAUCCGUCAUUUCUAAAUAAACUUGAUCAUUAGUUUUAUUUUUCA